AGAGUUUGAUCCUGGCUCAGAUUGAACGCUGGCGGCAUGCCUUACACAUGCAAGUCGAACGGCAGCACGGAGCUUGCUCUGGUGGCGAGUGGCGAACGGGUGAGUAAUAUAUCGGAACGUACCCUAGAGUGGGGGAUAACGUAGCGAAAGUUACGCUAAUACCGCAUACGAUCUAAGGAUGAGAGGGGGGGAUCGCAAGACCUCAUGCUCGUGGAGCGGCCGAUAUCUGAUUAGCUAGUUGGUAGGGUAAAAGCCUACCAAGGCAUCGAUCAGUAGCUGGUCUGAGAGGACGACCAGCCACACUGGAACUGAGACACGGUCCAGACUCCUACGGGAGGCAGCAGUGGGGAAUUUUGGACAAUGGGCGAAAGCCUGAUCCAGCAAUGCCGCGUGAGUGAAGAAGGCCUUCGGGUUGUAAAGCUCUUUUGUCAGGGAAGAAACGGUGAGAGCUAAUAUCUCUUGCUAAUGACGGUACCUGAAGAAUAAGCACCGGCUAACUACGUGCCAGCAGCCGCGGUAAUACGUAGGG
rnacentral:rRNA from 1 species